GAUGAACGCUGGCGGCGUGCCUAAUACAUGCAAGUCGAGCGAACAGAUGAGGAGCUUGCUCCUCUGACGUUAGCGGCGGACGGGUGAGUAACACGUGGAUAACCUACCUAUAAGACUGGGAUAACUUCGGGAAACCGGAGCUAAUACCGGAUAAUAUAUUGAACCGCAUGGUUCAAUAGUGAAAGACGGUUUUGCUGUCACUUAUAGAUGGAUCCGCGCCGCAUUAGCUAGUUGGUAAGGUAACGGCUUACCAAGGCAACGAUGCGUAGCCGACCUGAGAGGGGGAUCGGCCAAACGGGAACUGAGACACGGGCAAGACUCCUAAGGGAGGCAGCAGUGGGGAAUCUUCCGAAAUGGGCGAAAGCCUGACGGAGAAACGCCGCGGGGGUGAUGAAGGUUUUCGGAUCGUAAAACUCUGUUAUUAGGGAAGAACAAAUGUGUAAGUAACUAGGCACGUUUUGACGGUACCUAAUCAGAAAGCCCCGGCUAACUACGU
rnacentral:rRNA from 1 species